CCUACGGGAGGCAGCAGUGGGGAAUAUUGCACAAUGGGGGAAACCCUGAUGCAGCGACGCCGCGUGAGUGAAGAAGUAAUUCGUUAUGUAAAGCUCUAUCAGCAGGGAAGACAAUGACGGUACCUGAGUAAGAAGCCCCGGCUAACUACGUGCCAGCAGCCGCGGUAAUACGUAGGGGGCAAGCGUUAUCCGGAUUUACUGGGUGUAAAGGGAGCGUAGACGGCAGUGCAAGUCUGGAGUGAAAGGCGGGGGCUCAACCCCCGGACUGCUCUGGAAACUGUACGGCUGGAGUGCAGGAGAGGUAAGUGGAAUUCCUGGUGUAGCGGUGAAAUGCGUAGAUAUUAGGAGGAACACCAGUGGCGAAGGCGGCUUACUGGACUGUAACUGACGUUGAGGCUCGAAAGCGUGGGGAGCGAACAGGAUUAGAUACCCCAGUAGUC
rnacentral:rRNA from 1 species